GAUGAACGCUGGCGGCAGGCUUAACACAUGCAAGUCGAACGCCCCGCAAGGGGAGUGGCAGACGGGUGAGUAACGCGUGGGAACGUACCUUUCAGUUCGGAAUAACUCAGGGAAACUUGUGCUAAUACCGGAUACGUCCGUAAGGAGAAAGAUUUAUCGCUGAAAGAUCGGCCCGCGUUGGAUUAGCUAGUUGGUGGGGUAAUGGCCUACCAAGGCGACGAUCCAUAGCUGGUCUGAGAGGAUGAUCAGCCACACUGGGACUGAGACACGGCCCAGACUCCUACGGGAGGCAGCAGUGGGGAAUAUUGGACAAUGGGCGAAAGCCUGAUCCAGCCAUGCCGCGUGAGUGAUGAAGGCCCUAGGGUUGUAAAGCUCUUUCACCGAUGAAGAUAAUGACGGUAGUCGGAGAAGAAGCCCCGGCUAACUUCGUGCCAGCCGCCGCCGUAA
rnacentral:rRNA from 1 species